UCCACACGCGUGGAGUUGCGUCCGGCACGGGCGCCUCAUCCACCCCCGUGUCGGAGCAGACCCGCCCGGUCGUCCCCCGGGCGGGUC
rnacentral:sRNA from 19 species